UUUAGGGUUCCUCAACGCGAUUGAAAUUGGGGUCAGAAGAUUGAAAUUGUGUGCGUGGUUCGUCAAGGGAGGUUGUUUCAUUCCUUCGUCGUCAGAUGGUGGAGGUUGCGCCUCUACCGAUAGCACCACCGGUGCUGGAGCAGCGAAGGUCUCGACUGAGAAGGAGAACAACCCACCUCAAGCAGGGUUAGAGGUUGGACAGGGAAGAUGUGGGCUGGGAAUGGAGGAUUGGGAGAGUGUGUUGUCUGAGUCAUCUGGUCAAGAUAAUUCUAUUUUGAAAUUAAUUAUGGGGACAUUAGGACUCCGCUUAUGGGGGACAUUCAGCGAGCAGUGGAGACGAGAUCUGUUGGCUUGGCUGGCAUUGGGUUGCAUCCUGGAUUCGGAAAGUAAGAGUUUAGAAUUUGAACUCUAUUUGUCCAAUGCACAUAAGAGUGAAGCGCAGAUCUCUGUGAUAUAGGCAAAAAAAUGGAGUACAGGAAAAUCAAAGACGAGGAUGAAGUUAGGGACGGGGCCCUUGAAGACGUUGAAAAAUCAUUUUUGCUUUCAGUGCCAGAUAGUAGUUUGAGUUCCGGGGGAGAAACCAGGAUUGACAUCCACA